CGCUGGCGGCGUGCCUAAUACAUGCAAGUUGAGCGCUGAAGGUUGGUACUUGUACCGACUGGAUGAGCAGCGAACGGGUGAGUAACGCGUGGGGAAUCUGCCUUUGAGCGGGGGACAACAUUUGGAAACGAAUGCUAAUACCGCAUAAAAACUUUAAACACAAGUUUUAAGUUUGAAAGAUGCAAUUGCAUCACUCAAAGAUGAUCCCGCGUUGUAUUAGCUAGUUGGUGAGGUAAAGGCUCACCAAGGCGAUGAUACAUAGCCGACCUGAGAGGGUGAUCGGCCACAUUGGGACUGAGACACGGCCCAAACUCCUACGGGAGGCAGCAGUAGGGAAUCUUCGGCAAUGGACGAAAGUCUGACCGAGCAACGCCGCGUGAGUGAAGAAGGUUUUCGGAUCGUAAAACUCUGUUGGUAGAGAAGAACGUUGGUGAGAGUGGAAAGCUCAUCAAGUGACGGUAACUACCCAGAAAGGGACGGCUAACUACGUGCCAGCAGCCGCGGUAAUACGUAGGUCCCGAGCGUUGUCCGGAUUUAUUGGGCGUAAAGCGAGCGCAGGUGGUUUAUUAAGUCUGGUGUAAAAGGCAGUGGCUCAACCAUUGUAUGCAU
rnacentral:rRNA from 1 species